rnacentral:ncRNA from 2 species
GACCAAGAUGGGGAUGGAGUCCCCCGAAACCGCCGCAAGGCUGAUGACUCCUGCCGCGCG